rnacentral:rRNA from 1 species
CCUACGGGUGGCAGCAGUGGGGAAUAUUGCGCAAUGGGGGAAACCCUGACGCAGCCACGCCGCGUGAGUGAAGAAGUAUCUCGGUAUGUAAAGCUCUAUCAGCGGGGAAGACGGAAGACGGUACCCGACUAAGAAGCCCCGGCUAACUACGUGCCAGCAGCCGCGGUCAUACGUAGGGUGCGAGCGUUCUCCGGAUUUACUGGGUGGAAAGGGAGCGUAGACGGCGUCGCAAGUCUGAAGUGACAGACCGUGGCUCAACCGCGGAACCGCUUUGGAAACUGCGAUGCUGUAGUGCUGGAGAGGUAAGCGGAAUGCCUGGUGUAGCGGUGAAAUGCGUAGAUAUCAGGAGGAACACCGGUGGCGAAGGCGGCUUAAUGGACAGUGACUGACGUUGAGGCUCGAAAGCGUGGGGAGCGAACAGGAUUAGAUACCCUUGUAGUC